rnacentral:rRNA from 1 species
AGUUGUAUCCUGGCUCAGGAUGAACGCUGGCGGUAUGCCUUACACAUGCAAGUCGUACGAGAGUUUUUAACUCAAGUGGCGGACGGGUGAGUAACACGUGAGUAUUUACCUUUAGGAGGGGGACAACAGUUGGAAACGACUGCUAAUACCCCAUAUGCUUUAGAGUGAAAUGGAUUUAUCCGCCUAAAGAAAAGCUCGCGGCUGAUUAGCUUGUUGGUGAGGUAAUGGCUCACCAAGGCGACGAUCAGUAUCUGGUUUGAGAGGACGAUCAGACACACUGGAACUGAGACACGGUCCAGACUCCUACGGGAGGCAGCAGUGGGGAAUUUUCCGCAAUGGGCGAAAGCCUGACGGAGCAAUACCGCGUGAGGGAAGACUGCCUAUGGGUUGUAAACCUCUUUUUUCAGGGAGGAAUCAAUGACGUGUACCUGAAGAAUAAGCAUCGGCUAACUCCGUGCCAGCAGCCGCGGUAAGACGGAGGAUGCAAGUGUUAUCCGGAAUCACUGGGCGUAAAGCGUCUGUAGGUUGUUGUUUAAGUCAACUGUUAAAUCUUGAGGCUCAACUUCAAAAUCGCAGUCGAAACUAUUCAACUUGAGUAUAGUAGGGGUAAAGGGAAUUUCCAGUGGAGCGGUGAAAUGCGUAGAUAUUGGAAAGAACACCGAUGGCGAAGGCACUUUACUGGGCUAUUACUGACACUCAGAGACGAAAGCUAGGGUAGCAAAUGGGAUUAGAUACCCCAGUAGUCCUAGCCGUAAACAAUGGAUACUAGAUGUUGAACAGAUCGACCUGUGCAGUAUCAAAGCUAACGCGUUAAGUAUCCCGCCUGGGAAGUAUGCUCGCAAGAGUGAAAACUCAANGGAAUUGACGGGGGCC